rnacentral:rRNA from 1 species
AGAGUUUGAUCCUGGCUCAGAUUGAACGCUGGCGGCAUGCCUAACACAUGCAAGUCGAGGGGUAUAUGUCUUCGGAUAUAGAGACCGGCGCACGGGUGCGUAACGCGUAUGCAAUCUACCUUUUACAGGGGAAUAGCCCAGAGAAAUUUGGAUUAAUGCCCCAUAGUAUUAUGAAAUGGCAUCAUUUUAUAAUUAAAGUCACAACGGUAAAAGAUGAGCAUGCGUCCCAUUAGUUAGUUGGUAAGGUAACGGCUUACCAAGACAAUGAUGGGUAGGGGUCCUGAGAGGGAGAUCCCCCACACUGGUACUGAGACACGGACCAGACUCCUACGGGAGGCAGCAGUGAGGAAUAUUGGACAAUGGGCGCAAGCCUGAUCCAGCCAUGCCGCGUGCAGGAAGACGGUCCUAUGGAUUGUAAACUGCUUUUAUACAGGAAGAAACACUCCGACGUGUCGGAGCUUGACGGUACUGUAGGAAUAAGGAUCGGCUAACUCCGUGCCAGCAGCCGCGGUAAUACGGAGGAUCCAAGCGUUAUCCGGAAUCAUUGGGUUUAAAGGGUCCGUAGGCGGUUUAAUAAGUCAGUGGUGAAAUCUGGUCGCUCAACGAUCAAACGGCCAUUGAUACUGUUAGACUUGAAUUAUAAGGAAGUAACUAGAAUAUGUAGUGUAGCGAUGAAAUGCUUAGAUAUUACAUGGAAUACCAAUUGCGAAGGCAGGUUACUACUUAUGGAUUGACGCUGAUGGACGAAAGCGUGGGGAGCGAACAGGAUUAGAUACCCUGGUAGUCC